rnacentral:lncRNA from 1 species
CUGCAGAGGAGCUCUCCUUCUCCAACAGCUUGAGACUCUAGGUCUCCGUGCUCGGAUAAGCAGCACCUAAGCCCUUAGUAGUUUGGACUCUUCAUCCGAAGCCAAACCUCUCACUAACGCUUAUUUCUCUCCCAGGAAGGUGUUACAACACUUCAGGAAGCAAUGCAAUGCAAUGAAAUUCAAGAGACUGGGUUGUUGUCCUCUCUAGGCAGGUAGAAGUUGGAGCAGGACUUGAAGGGAGCUAUGGCUUUUUAAAAGGAGACUGCCUUCAAAAACAGAUAAGGAGAAAGAACUUUCUCAUAGUAAUGCUACUGCCUUAAUACCGUUUCCUCCUGCCGCCAUAUAUAUCUAGCUGCUUGCAGCUGCCAGGAGACCGAAGGAUGCAGGCAACAAGAGACUGCUAAAGGCAGGAUCCCUUAACAAAAUCUCAGUUACGUGCUGAUGUUCAGAGGAAGAGAGAUAACUGGUUAGGCCGUUUUUAUCUUUGAUGCAAGUGCCAACUGUAAGGAGUCUUCAAGGCUGUAAUGCAUGCAGAGUAUCAUGUGUACGUUCAAGACAAAAAUACUUAGUAGACAUGGAAGACAUUCGCACGCCCCAUCUGGGAUUCCUGACAGCUUGCCAUCUCAUACGUGACAUGGGCCACCUAUGGAAGAACAAUAGAAAUAGAAACCAGCUGGAAGGACUGCUUCCCUCUGCGAUCUGAUGUGAAGCUUGGACUCAAAGCUGGAGAGACGGAGAGAUGGCUGAGCCCAGGCAGGCGUAGCACCAGGCCCAGGAGGAGAAGACCUCGGGCUGGAGGAGAGGUGGCAUUGCCAAGCGGGGUCCUUCCCCCCCUGCCAAUGUAGAGGCAGCAGGGGGCUUCAUCGCAGCUGCUGGGCUCUGCCCCAUGACCAACGCCAAGGACCCGAAGGGCGCGAUGGACCCCUCACCGGCGACCCCCAGCGCGGCAGCAGGCCCCGUUACCUUCUCCCAGGUGUUUGGACAGCAGUGCCAGCUCAUGGAAGCAGGUAAGAGAGCGAGACACGUGUGAUAUAACCUAAACUUCUU